rnacentral:rRNA from 1 species
GGAUGAACUGAGGGUAGCGGAGAAAUUCCAAUCGAACCUGGAGAUAGCUGGUUCUCUCCGAAAUAGCUUUAGGGCUAGCCUCAAGUGAUGAUUAUUGGAGGUAGAGCACUGUUUGGACGAGGGGCCCCUCUCGGGUUACCGAAUUCAGACAAACUCCGAAUGCCAAUUAAUUUAACUUGGGAGUCAGAACAUGGGUGAUAAGGUCCGUGUUCGAAAGGGAAACAGCCCAGACCACCAGCUAAGGUCCCAAAAUAUAUGUUAAGUGGAAAAGGAUGUGGCGUUGCCCAGACAACUAGGAUGUUGGCUUAGAAGCAGCCAUCAUUUAAAGAGUGCGUAAUAGCUCACUAGUCGAGUGACACUGCGCCGAAAAUGUACCGGGGCUAAACAUAUUACCGAAGCUGUGGAUUGUCCUUUGGACAAUGGUAGGAGAGCGUUCUAAGGGCGUUGAAGCAUGAUCGUAAGGACAUGUGGAGCGCUUAGAAGUGAGAAUGCCGGUGUGAGUAGCGAAAGACGGGUGAGAAUCCCGUCCACCGAUUGACUAAGGUUUCCAGAGGAAGGCUCGUCCGCUCUGGGUUAGUCGGGUCCUAAGCUGAGGCCGACAGGCGUAGGCGAUGGAUAACAGGUUGAUAUUCCUGUACCACCUAUAAUCGUUUUAAUCGAUGGGGGGACGCAGUAGGAUAGGCGAAGCGUGCGAUUGGAUUGCACGUCUAAGCAGUAAGGCUGAGUAUUAGGCAAAUCCGGUACUCAUUAAGGCUGAGCUGUGAUGGGGAGAAGACAUUGUGUCUUCGAGUCGUUGAUUUCACACUGCCGAGAAAAGCCUCUAGAUAGAAAAUAGGUGCCCGUACCGCAAACCGACACAGGUAGUCAAGAUGAGAAUUCUAAGGUGAGCGAGCGAACUCUCGUUAAGGAACUCGGCAAAAUGACCCCGUAACUUCGGGAGAAGGGGUGCUCUUUAGGGUUAACGCCCAGAAGAGCCGCAGUGAAUAGGCCCAAGCGACUGUUUAUCAAAAACACAGGUCUCUGCUAAACCGUAAGGUGA